rnacentral:misc_RNA from 1 species
UCCGGCUUAACGCCGGCAGUCUCCCUAGAGUGCCCAACUUAAUGGUGGCAACUAAGGACGAGGGUUGCGCUCGUUAGAGGACUUAACCCGACACUUCACAGCACGAGCUGACGACAGCCAUGCAGCACCUGUGCACGUUCCACUCUUGCGAGUGUGGCCCACCUUUCGGCGGGUUAAUCCGUGCAUGUCAAGCCUUGGAUAAGGUUCUUCGCGUUGCUUCGAAUUGAGCCACAUGCUCCACCGCUUGUGUGAGCCCCCGUCAAUUCCUUUGAGUUUCAGCCUUGCGGCCGUACUCCCCAGGCGGGGCACUUAAUGCGUUAGCGCCGGCACCCAGGGGGUCGCUCCCCCAGGCACCUAGUGCCCAUCGUUUACGGCGUGGACUAC